rnacentral:sRNA from 1 species
GCGUCGGGCGUCUCCUCCCAUUCGUUUGACGCGUUCCCCUCUGGAGGUUUAACCUUCAUAAUUGGCCGGGCUUAACAGCCCGGCCUCUUUU